GCCCGGCUGGCUCAGUCGGUUGAGCGUCCGACUUCAGCUCAGGUCAUGAUCUCACGGUUCGUGGGUUCGAGCCCCGCGUUGGGCU
rnacentral:tRNA from 1 species